rnacentral:rRNA from 1 species
UACGAAGGGGGCUAGCGUUGCUCGGAAUCACUGGGCGUAAAGCGCUCGUAGGCGGAUUGUUAAGUCGGGGGUGAAAUCCUGGAGCUCAACUCCAGAACUGCCUUCGAUACUGGCAAUCUUGAGUCCGGGAGAGGUGAGUGGAACUCCGAGUGUAGAGGUGAAAUUCGUAGAUAUUCGGAAGAACACCAGUGGCGAAGGCGGCUCACUGGCCCGGUACUGACGCUGAGGUGCGAAGGCUAGGGGAGCAAACGGG